rnacentral:rRNA from 1 species
CCUACGGGAGGCAGCAGUGGAGAAUAUUGCACAAUGGGGGAAACCCUGAUGCUGCGACGCCGCGUGGGUGAAUGAGUAAUUCGUUACGUAAAACUCUAUCAGCAGGGGAGAAACACUGACCUUACGGUCAGCAAGCGGUACCUGAGUAAAAAUCUGCGGCUAACUACGUGCCAGCAGCCGCGGUAAUACGGAGGUGGAAAGCGUUAUCCGGAUUGGCUGGGGGUAAGGGGAGCGUAGACGGUGUGCUAAGUCUGGAGUGAAAGGCCGCAGCUCAACUGCGGAACUGCUUUGGAAACUGGCGAACUAGAGUGCGGGAGGGGGAAGCGGAAUGCUCAGUGUAGCGGUGAAAUGCGUAGAUAUCAGGAGGAACACUGGUGGCGAAGGCGGUUUACUGGACCGUAACUGACGUUGAGGCUCGAAAGCGUGGGGAGCAAACAGGAUUAGAUACCCCUGUAGUC